AUAUUAUCCAAAUUCUGUUUUCCAGCAACGCAAAUAGAAAUAAUCUUUGUCUCAAGGUCAGUGCAAACUAAAGGCCAAAGAAACAGGGAAGCUGCCUGACGCUCUACUUUUGAAACAAGAACUUCAAAGUUUAGAGAAAGAAAGUUGGCAAAAUGUGAAGCCUUUAUUUUCAUCCUGGAUUCAAUAAAGUGUCUGGUCUGAUUACAUGGAUUGAAUGACGUGUGUUAGCACCCUGCUUAUUAACCACUCUUCAUCUUCAGCAGCUACAGAUCAUUUUCUGAGCAAGGCAUCAGCCUGUCCUUAAUGCAUCACUGAAUUCAUCAAAGUCUUCUUUUGUGAGAACCCUUUAAUAUUCCUAAAGCCUGAACUUGUGAUGCUGUGAUUGAAGGUGGCUGGAGCAACAAUGAACCUUUGCGGCCAAUAGGGAAGACAUCACCAGUGACUGCUGUAUCAAAUUCCAGGUAGAUUGGUGCAGUGCAGAAAUAACCUACUCUAAGCCAGCAAUCACGCACAGCUUGCUGCUAUUCAUAACAGUGCUGUAAGAUAUGCAAAAUGUAAUUCCACCUUAUUGUGAUUGUAGAUGAGUUCCAAACGCAGUCUUGCAAAAAAUGCACAGAAAAACUGAAAACAGAGUCACUGGUCUAAACCUAACUGUAGUAAUGACACCAUAGUUCUAUUUUUAUGCCAGAGUAGAUGUUUACAGCAUUAUAAGAGUGACUUAAUGCGACAUUUUCAGUUCUUUUCCCUGAGAUCCUUAUUACUGAAGCCAUAAUGAUCUGAAGGUAUAGGACAAGUUUUGCAAAGGGAGGGUAUAUCUUUUAUUAAGCCAACUGAUACAGGCAGGGAAAAAUAGUCAAGUUUUUGGCAGCAGAGUUUGUGCUCCUUA
rnacentral:lncRNA from 1 species